rnacentral:rRNA from 1 species
GUCCACGCCGUAAACUAUCAAUACUCGAUAUUAGCGAUAUACUGUUAGUGUCUAAGCGAAAGUGAUAAGUAUUGCACCUGGGGAGUACGAUCGCAAGGUUGAAACUCAAAGGAAUUGACGGGGCCCGCACAAGCGGUGGAGCAUGUGGUUUAAUUCGAUGAUACGCGAGGAACCUUACCAGGGCUUAAAUGUAGAACGCAUAAGCUGGAAACAGUUUAGUCUUCGGACGGUCUACAAGGUGCUGCAUGGCUGUCGU